rnacentral:rRNA from 1 species
UCCGGUGACUUUACUAGGGGGGAAACACCCGUUCCCAUUCCGAAUACGGAAGUUAAGCCCCCUGAGGCCGAUGGUACUGCGCUGGAAACGGCGUGGGAGAGUAGGUAGUUGCCGGGA